rnacentral:rRNA from 1 species
UACGGAGGGUGCAAGCGUUAUCCGGAUUCACUGGGUUUAAAGGGUGCGUAGGCGGCUAUUUAAGUCAGUGGUGAAAUCCCCCAGCUUAACUGGGGAAUUGCCUACGAUACUGCCUGGCUCGAGGGAGGAAGGGGCGGCCGGAACUGUCGGUGGAGCGGUGAAAUGCGUUGAGAUCGACAGGAACGCCGGUGGCGAAAGCGGGCCGCUGGCCCUCUUCUGACGCUGAGGCGCGAAAGCCAGGGGAGCGAACGGG